GCAUAUUAUUAGUUGAAAGGUCGACGUGACGUGUUGGAAACAUUUUGUGCAGUAAAUAAGUUUUUAUAGCUCAGCUAAGUUAGCUACCGGUGGAUGAAAGAGUUUGUGGACCUACCUGAACAACAUUAGCUUUUGCUUCGCACAACGGGAGAGCAACGUGCGUUUGUGGGAGAGGGCUUUUCUAACAAGCUUCUGACGGACAUUGCUGCACCCGUGAAGACAGUGAAGCACUCAGGACUUCAACAAGAGGCUUACCGCUGCACGUGGACCACAUGAGAACGCCCGCCAUUGCUCAGCUAAGUGCUCGACAGAGGGUACGAACUAACUGCAUCUCUGGAGGAACAGAUGCCCAGCUUCACACGGCCAGCAUGGGCCUCCAUCACCAGAGAGCCACCGGCACUGAGACAUGCCCCCCAACACCCAGCCUGCCACUGACAGAUAGGCACUAGGGUACGGCGCCGCACCAGCGAGGCUGUGCAUGGGCAGGGCGCCCAAAGCACAGGCGGGCAGGGGACCCUGGGUCUCAGACCCACGACCCAGGAAAGGUUUACUGUAAAUGCAAAGCAGCUGUUCUCCUGGUGUGGUCAGAACAACCUAGAACUGAAUCCGCUCAAUACUGUGGAGAUGACAGUGGACCUCACACCCACCCCCACCCCAAAAGACUUUCCACCGGCCUAAGAAACUGCUAACAACCUUCUACAAUGCAAUAAUACAGUUUGUUCUUUGCACCCCCAUAUUAAAGUUUGGCUUGGCUCUGCUAUCACACUGGACAAGAGAAGACUGUAACAGACAAUCAGAGUAAACCAUUGGGACCAGCCAGGUAGGUAGGCUAUACAAAGCACUGUUCACCAAAACAACCAGACACAAAAAAAUAAUUUCUUCCCCCAGUAUUGAACAAUUAACACACACCCGCAUCCCCACAAGAUGACCUGUAUGCAUUACUUUAUUUGUCCACAUUUAUAGUAUUAACCACUACUACCGGCAUUUGCACCCAUGCACAUUUGCACUACAUACUAUUCUGGAUGUAUCACUUUGACUUGUAAUCUGUAACACUGCAAGUGUCAUAAUUCUCUUACUUAUUCUAUGAUUAUAAUUUUGAAGUCUGAUAGAAGGAAGGCAAAGUUUUGGAAAUAUUAAAAAUUCAAUGGCGAAUGCCAACUGAGGUCAGUAGCGCUAGCAUUUGUGUUUUUAUGUUUACAUUCAACUUCAAUCUACAUAGAGCUUUUUUUAUAUAUUUCAUCUUUUUCUGCCAUGCAGUGAUGUAUAUUACGUCUGCAAAAUGAGGAAAUAGCUCCCUCUUGUCUGUUUACAAUGCUCCCAGCGCCAUGUUACAGCCCAUAAUUGAACGGAUAGUCAUUCGCUCUACCUUAUCUAAUUUUCAUUUGCAGUCUUUGACUCUGCGUCUAUCCUUUACAUGGUCAGCCUGGAGAGAAUGGGCAGAGAAACCAUUCAUUUUGGUCAGCACCUUGUUUUAUGCCCUCACCAUGGGUGGAUAGGAAGAUUCAAGGGAUGUGACGGAACAGGGACGCAGUUUUACUCUGCAGAGUAAACCAGUGGGUGACGUGUGAGUUGAGUGAAACUAAAAGGCAACACAAACAUCCAACAAAUAGAUCACAAGAGUUGUGGGAUGUCUCCUUCAUAGCUCUUCAACACAUGGAAAUAAGUGGCUGAAAUAUGACGCUCGGAGCAACAUUGUCAGGAGGAAUUUACUUUCCUGUACACAAUGCACUGCAAAUAAACGAGCAACUACUAUGCGAUGGCGCCGCACGGCCUUGAGGAUGAUGAUUUCAAGAUAUUUUGCUCGAUGUGCUUCACGCUAUUCCGUCACACUCCAAUCUCGUCUCUCGCUCGUCUCCACUGCCACAUCUUUUCAUUGCUUUUAUCCGCCACUCACAAGAUGAAUCCUGCCGACCAUCAUUCCACAUGCUUCCGACAUGCUGCACUUUCAGACACGCUCACUUCAGUGUAGAUUCUCCUCUCCUCAUUUUGCGCUCGAGAGUCAUUCACCGCUACAAUCCCCCC